rnacentral:rRNA from 1 species
GUGGGGAAUAUUGGACAAUGGGGGCAACCCUGAUCCAGCAAUGCCGCGUGUGUGAAGAAGGUCUUCGGAUCGUAAAGCACUUUCGACGGGGACGAUGAUGACGGUACCCGUAGAAGAAGCCCCGGCUAACUUCGUGCCAGCAGCCGCGGUAAUACGAAGGGGGCUAGCGUUGCUCGGAAUUACUGGGCGUAAAGGGCGCGUAGGCGGCUCUGUUAGUCAGGCGUGAAAUUCCUGGGCUUAACCUGGGGACUGCGCUUGAUACUGCGGAGCUUGAGGCCGAGAGAGGGUGGUGGAAUUCCCAGUGUAGAGGUGAAAUUCGUAGAUAUUGGGAAGAACACCGGUGGCGAAGGCGACCACCUGGCUCGGUACUGACGCUGAGGCGCGACAGCGUGGGGAGCAAACAGGAUUAGAUACCCGGGUAGUCC